rnacentral:rRNA from 1 species
AUUGAACGCUGGCGGCAGGCCUAACACAUGCAAGUCGAGCGCGCGGCGGACGGGUGAGAAAUAUGUGGGAAACUGCCUGAUGGAGGGGGAUAACUACUGGAAACGGUAGCUAAUACCGCAUACGCUCAAAUGUGCGCAGAUGGGGGUAGCGAGUAGGUGGGGUAACGGCUCACCUAGGCGACGCUCCCUAGCUGGUCUGAGAGGAUGACCAGCCACACUGGGACUGAGACACGGUCCAGACUCCUACGGGAGGCAGCAGUGGGGAAUAUUGCACAAUGGGCGCAAGCCUGAUGCAGCCAUGCCGCGUGUGUGAAGAAGGCCUUCGGGUUGUAAAGCACUUUCAGCGGGGAGGCGUUACCCGCAGAAGAAGCACCGGCUAACUCCGUGCCAGCAGCCGCGGUAAUUC